UGGGGUAAAGGCCUACCAAGGCAUCGAUCAGUAGCUGGUCUGAGAGGACGACCAGCCACACUGGAACUGAGACACGGUCCAGACUCCUACGGGAGGCAGCAGUGGGGAAUUUUGGACAAUGGGGGCAACCCUGAUCCAGCAAUGCCGCGUGAGUGAAGAAGGCCUUCGGGUUGUAAAGCUCUUUUGUCAGGGAAGAAACGGUGAGGGCUAAUAUCCUUUGCUAAUGACGGUACCUGAAGAAUAAGCACCGGCUAACUACGUGCCAGCAGCCGCGGUAAUACGUAGGGUGCAAGCGUUAAUCGGAAUUACUGGGCGUAAAGCGUGCGCAGGCGGUUAUGUAAGUCAGAUGUGAAAUCCCCGGGCUCAACCUGGGAAUGGCAUUUGAGACUGCAUGGCUAGAGUGUGUCAGAGGGGGGUAGAAUUCCACGUGUAGCAGUGAAAUGCGUAGAGAUGUGGAGGAAUACCGAUGGCGAAGGCAGCCCCCUGGGAUAACACUGACGCUCAUGCACGAAAGCGUGGGGAGCAAAAAGGAUUAGAUAUCCUGGUAGUCCACGCCCUAAACGCCAUAAAGUAGUUGUCGGGACGUAAUAAUUUUGGUAACGCAGCUAACGCGUGAAGUAGACCGCCUGGGGGGUACGGUUCGCAAGAAAAAAAAUCAAAGGAAAUGACGGGGGGCCCGCACACCCGGUGGAUGAUGUGGAUUAAUUUGAUGCAACGCGAAAAACCUUACCUACCCCUGACAUGUACGGAACCUCUGAGAGAUUAGAGGGUGCUCGAAAGAGAGCCGUAACACAGGUGCUGCAUGGCUGUCGUCAGCUCGUGUCGUGAGAUGAUGGGUUAAGUCCCGCAACGAGCGCAACCCCCCCCACUAAUAGCCAUCAUUUAGUUGGGCACUUUAAUGGGACUGCCGGCGACAAACCGGAGGAAGGUGGGGAGGACGUCAAGUCCUCAUGGCCCUUAUGGCCAGGGCGUCACACGUAAUACAAUGGUCGGUACAGAGAGUAGCCAAGCCGCGAGGUGGAGGUAAUAUCAGAAAGCCGAUCGUAGUCCGGAUUGUUCUUUGCAACUCGAGAGCAUGAAGUCGGAAUCGCUAGUAAUCGCGGAUCAGCAUGUCGCGGUGAAUAAAAAACCGGGCCUUGCCCUCGCCGCCCGUCAA
rnacentral:rRNA from 1 species